AUGCCGCAAACACAAAGGCAGCCACCUUUCCUUCGAGGCCAAGAUAAAUCAGUCCCGUGGGCGCAAAAAAAAAGUAAUCAACCCGUGGACGCAGGAGCAAAAGAACAAGCAGACGCACAAAAGAGCGCACGUGCAGGCCCUAUGUGUGUGUGCGCGCGCGCGCACGUCACGUGUAAAUGGACACACACGCACGCAUUCUUCCUGCCUUUCUCCUCCUUUUUUUUUUGGCACGAGCCUACUCCGGUUCAGGCAUACAUACAGCCAAAACGGCGCAGAAACAAGCCGUUGCGCGCUGUCAGCCGCUCUCAGAAUCCCCACCACCGCCGCCCCGCCGGCGCAACGGUCCGGUCCGGCCCGGCCUUUAAAGUUUAA
rnacentral:rRNA from 1 species